GGAGUUAGCCGGUGCUUCUUCUGUGAGUGAUGUCCUUCCUGCCGGCUAUUAACCCGCAGGCCUUCUUCCUCACUGAAAGUGCUUUACAACCCGAAGGCCUUCUUCACACACGCGGCAUGGCUGGAUCAGGGUUGCCCCCAUUGUCCAAUAUUCCCCACUGCUGCCUCCCGUAGGAGUCUGGGCCGUGUCUCAGUCCCAGUGUGGCUGAUCAUCCUCUCAGACCAGCUACGGAUCGUCGCCUUGGUGAGCCGUUACCUCACCAACCAGCUAAUCCGACAUAGGCUCAUCCGAUAGCGCGAGGCCCGAAGGUCCCCCGCUUUCCCCCGUAGGGCGUAUGCGGUAUUAGCCUGGGUUUCCCCAGGUUAUCCCCCACUACCGGGCAGAUUCCUAUGCAUUACUCACCCGUCCGCCGCUCGCCACCAGGGAGCAAGCUCCCCGUGCUGCCGCUCGACUUGCAUGUGUUAGGCCUGCCGCCAGCGUCAUCUGAGCCGAGGAUACAAACUACUCGA
rnacentral:rRNA from 1 species